GGGUCAGUGGCGGAACCGGUAUACGCGCAACACUUAAAAUGUUGUCCGCACUUCGCGGAUGAGGGUUCGAUUCCCUCCUGACCCACAA
rnacentral:tRNA from 1 species